AUGACCAGCUCCUGGUGAAUCCCUCUCCGACUCUCAGCAAACGUCUCGCCCCGUUUGGCGCUAAAUGUGGCUUGCCCUCCCAGCCACCGGGAGCCAGGCAAAGCCACAAAGGGAUUUUGUUCCUUGUGGGGCUUGUUCCAAGCUUCUCCCAGAGCCUGCCGUUAAUCCCGGAAAGCCUGACUGACCCCGGGAAGCCCGGCUGCCCCCCGCAGCGGCUGCCUGCAGACAUGUCCCCAGUCUGUGGGACACCCACGCGUGUGACAGCAUCAAAGACACGGGGAGGUGUCCAAGGCCAGGCUGGGAAGUGGUGGCAGAGGAGGGAGCUGGAUGCAGGCAGUGUCCAGGCACUGGGUUUCCCUCUCCAUCCCCCUGGGGAAGGUCCCAGACACCUGCAAACCUGUGGAAAGUCAUCUCGAAGCUGGUUUGCUGGCAGCAAUCAGUCCAUGCCCACCUCGGGACCGACCUGGGGAUGCUUUUGCCGGUGCCUGUUGCCACCUUCUGCCCCAAGGUCUCCAUCCCCAGGAGGUUCCCCGUCCCCCUCCCCAGCAGUGCCUGCUGCUGCUCUGAGCCUCUCCAGCGCUCACGUUUCACCAGCCAUAAAAGUGUCUGGAGGAGGAAAGGGAGUGGCGGCGUGUCGGGGCAGGGGAGGGAGCGCUGUCUGUCCCUGCUGCCACCCCAGACCUUGUCCCACCACCCUGGGCAGGCGGCUGCUGGUCCCCCUGUGGUGGCCCAGCCCCUGCCUCCCCCUCAUCCUGCCCUGCGUGGCUGGAGAGGUGCCCAAAAUGGAUCAAAGAGCCACCGAGGGAAAGCGAGCUGGCAGCAAUUCCCCAGCCCGUGAGCAGGAGGUGGGGUGUCCAUCCCACAGGGCUGAAGACAAGCCACAGGGACCACGGAGCGUUUUGUGGGGACCCAGAAGGGUGGGGGCACAGCAGCCGUGGGGGGAUCAGAGCCGAGCUCUCCCCUCUCUGCUCCAGCUCAGGCUCAGCCAGCCCAAAGGCUCCUGCAGCCCCGUUUCAAGGCUCAGCACAGCGUUUGCUCAUCAACCCACACUGUGGGCCCCCCCUUCUGCCCAGACCCCAAAGAUGGCCAUAACCAUGACGACUUUGCCUGGGGGUGGGAGCAGACCAGGCUGAGCCCUGCAUCCCCAGGAAGGAUGCUCAUCACCACGCUCCCUCUUUUCUUUUCCUCCUGCAUCCCGAACCCCCCAAGCCCCCGGUGACCCCAGUGCUGCCACACAGGAGCUCUGCCGGGGGCUUUGAUGCCCAGCGGGUCCGGUGUCCCCUGCGGCAGCCCCCCGGGC
rnacentral:lncRNA from 1 species